GAUGAACGCUGGCGGCGUGCUUAACACAUGCAAGUCGAGCGGUAAGGCCCUUUCGGGGGUACACGAGCGGCGAACGGGUGAGUAACACGUGGGUGACCUGCCCUCAGCUCUGGGAUAAGCCCGGGAAACUGGGUCUAAUACUGGAUAUUACUCUGCGGUGCAUGCCGUGGGGUGGAAAGCCUUGUGCGGCUGGGGAUGGGCCCGCGGCCUAUCAGCUUGUUGGUGGGGUGAUGGCCUACCAAGGCGACGACGGGUAGCCGGCCUGAGAGGGCGACCGGCCACACUGGGACUGAGACACGGCCCAGACUCCUACGGGAGGCAGCAGUGGGGAAUCUUGCGCAAUGGGCGAAAG
rnacentral:rRNA from 1 species